rnacentral:tRNA from 1 species
GCGGAUGUGCUGGAAUUGGUAGACUGGCUAGCUUGAGGUGCUAGUGGCCCACGGCCGUGCGGGUUCGAGUCCCGCCAUCCGCACCA